AUGGCCCCCAUAGGCUCAUAGAGUUGAAUGCUUGGUCAUCAGGACAUAGCACUGUUUAAACAGCAUGACCUUGUUGGAGGAAAUGUGUCGCUUGGGCUGGGCUUUGAAGUAUUAAAAGUCUAGGCCAGGUCCAGUGUCUCUCUCUGCCUAUGGAUCAGAGUGUAGCUCUCAGCUGCUACUGCAGUCCCUGUCUGCAUACCACCAUGCUCCCUACCAUGACGAUAAUGGACUAAACUUAGGAAACUGUAAGCAAGCCCUCAUUGAGUGAUUUCCUUUACAAGAGUUGCCUUGCUCAUGGAGCUUCUUCACAGCAAUAGAACAGUGACUAAGACAGCAUAUAGUGUUAAAAAUACAAACCUUGUCGGGCGGUGGUGGCGCACGCCUUUAAUCCCAGCACUCGGGAGGCAGAGGCAGGUGGAUUUCUGAGUUCGAGGCCAGCCUGGUCUACAAAGUGAGUUCCAGGACAGCCAAGGCUACACAGAGAAACCUUGUCUCGACCCCCCCCCCCCAAAAAAAACCAAGAAACAACAACAACAACAAACCCCAACAACAAACCUUAAGAAUACACUGGUGAAGUAGUUCAGUGGGUAAAGGUACCCAUUGUCAAGCCUGACUACCUGAGUUCUGAAUUCAGUCCCACAUGUUGGAAGAAGAGAACUGGCUCCCCCAAAUUGUCUUCUGACCUUUGCAUGCAUGCUGUGGCAUGCACAUGCGCGCACACACGCACACGCACAUUCUAAAUGAGUUAAAAAGUCAAAUCACAAUUCUGUUUUUACAGCUAGCAAAAUGUAAAAUGACCAGUAAUUUCUUGAUAGAUCUCAGAAUUCCUUUGGUUGUUAAUGUUCCCAGCAGGCUCCUAACAUUUUUGUAUCUUUGUGAUAUUUAGAGUAGUCUCUUCCACACUGUGUUCUCUCAUGCCACUGACUUGGCCAGUAGCUCAGCAGGGUCCUGUAGAGUGGGACUGUGUCUGUACUAAUUUUCAUAAAACAGAUGCAUUUAUGAGGCACAUGGCAUUCUCUCCUCUCUAUAAUAGGUUUUCAUUUUGAAGUUUGGCUAAAACGCAGGAGCAAAUAAGUAGAUCUCAGAGUCGAGCUGAGUUAUAUAGGUUUCAAGAUGUGGAUACACAUGAUGCCUAGUCUUCUUUCACUUGUUUUGUAUGUGUAGUGAUGAGAAUUAAACCUGGGGCUUGCCCAUGUUCUGCUAUACUACCUACCAUACCUCUCUGCGGUCUGCAUGCCUGCGUGUGUGUGCACGUGCCUGUGUGCAUGCGUGCUGGGAAUGGGGUUCACACUCUUGUACACAUUAAUGAGACCCUGUGUCAAAAACAAGGUGGAUACUUAUUGGGUUGUGUUGCUCAAGGUUUACCUCUGGCCUCUACAUUUUCAUCUAACUCUUGGCUGAAGUCGUUUGGAUUAAAUAGGUCAAAGAGCAAAUUCUUUGCCUACCUGCCUUGUCAGAACUCAUUCCAGUCAUAGAUUUUUGUUUGAGGCAGGGUCUCAGUCUUAGCCCAGGUUGGUCUCAAACUACUGAUUCUCCUGUCUCAGCUUUUCUGGUGGUGGGAAUUACAGUCUGUGCUACCAUAACUAUAUAGAUUUUGUUUUUGUUUCUUCACCUUCAAGGUUGUUUAUAAUGGGAAGGGGUGCUUGCUUUCUUCCUGCCCAGUGACUUAUCCUUUUCAGAUUUGGUUAUAAUGGCCAGUUCAAUUGCUUGAAUUCUUGUUAGGCUCAUCCUUCAUGUGUAGUUACAUUUCCUGUAGAUAUAGAAAAGCUGUUCAGCCCAGGGCAUUAGUUCUGAUGGCCAGUGCACAUAGAGUUUGGGUUGUCAGAUGAGUUCUGUGUUCCAGACCUGUACUGGCAACACAGCUGGCUUCCCUUUUCCCACUGGGUGGGAUCUGUAGCAGAUAGGAGGAGAGUAGAAGGAAGAUUGCCACAUAAUAUCCUACCAUGUAGUUCAGUGGUUAAAAUAAGAGUAAUCCUCAAGCAAAGUGCAUUGUAUACACGUGACACUUUGGGCUGAUGAGUCUAGGUCCUGGGCUUAGAAGUUCUGGGCACUGGGCUGAACUCAGCUGUAGGCUUAUUUAUGUGUGCAUCUGUGUCAUGCUGACUGGAGCAUCUGCUUGUCCAUGUUGUGGAGGCUGCUUGUCCAUGGUGUCCAGGCAGUUUCAUGGUAGCUGGGAUGGCAGAGGAGCAGUGCUGAUGCCAUGGGUGAGAUUGUAGUGGGGAGACCCCGAGUGAGACAUAGCUUAGUCCUGCUUUCUCUGGGAAGAUGUAGUGGCUAAAGGAGCAUGUUAGAAGUAGUAGGGGUGGAGGGACCUCAGUUUGUUUCUUAGUAGAAAGGCCCAGUGAAGGGUUAAGUAGAUGGGAAGGGAAUCUGUUCUGGAUUUUGAAAUCUCUUAAAUGUAAUUUCUUGGGCUACUUUGGAUAUCAAUUGUAUAUUCCAAAUUUAGGAAUGGAUUCUUUUUUCUUCCAAGGGAUUAAAACCCAAAAAGACAAAAGGGGAAAAUAAAAACCUCAACUGCUGAAAGAGUUCUCCCCCACUCCUUGAUAAUUAGCUGGUAAAGCUGGGGUGUAGAGACUUAGGGGCGGGGGAGUGCUUUGAGUCUCUGAUUGCUCAGCUAAAGUUUCUUUUGUCUUUGAGAACUGUGUAUAUUUUGCAUUUCCUUGGUUCUCUCAGUUCUUGAGGCACUAACCCUAACCCUCGAGUGCCCAGCUAUCCUGAGACAGAAAGAAGUCAGUGGCAUCUUUCUGUCUUAGUUGAGGUUUUAUUGCUGUGAAUACACACUAUGGUCAGAGCAACUCUUAGUUUGGUCCACUAUCAGCACAGUGGGAAAGCAUGGCUGCAUGCAGACAGCCUGGUACUGGAGAGAUAGCAGACAGUCUACGUCUGGAUUGGCAGGCAGCAGGAAGAGAGUUCUUUGGCCUGGCUUGAGCACCUGAAACCUGAAGACCACCCCUAGUGACACACUUCCUCCAACAAGACCACACCUCCUAAUAGUGCCACUUCUUAUGAGCCUUUGGAAGGCAUUUUUAUUUAAACCAAUACAUUGACAUUUUUCUUAUUUUGACUAGAACUCAGAGUCUCUGUUCUCUGGCAGGGAAGGUGAUCUUUGCCUUGUUAGUAUUGAGGAAAGUCCAGCUGGCUAAUGCAUUCGGCACAGGAAAAGCCUCUCCUCAGUUGCUCUUCAAUCUAAAACACCGAGGUCACACUCAGCUGUAAAAUCCCCUAACAAGAAGUUCCUCGUCCUUGAUAGUUUCCUCCCCUGGGAAUAUCCAUAAGCAUGGGUAGACAUGUGAAAGCUGACUGUUCUCUAGGACAGACAGAAAUGCUUGGGCUAAUGUGCAAAGGGCAUCAAUUACUUGCAGAAAUAUUUUCUUCAGUUCUUCCCUCUCUGCCUUUCAUAGGAGAUUUAUUCAGCCCCCCCCCCCCCCAGGGUUUCUCUGCAUAAGUAGCCCUGCUGUCCUGGAACUCUGUAGAUCAGGCUGGCCUCGAACUCAGAAUUCUACCUGUCUCUGCCUCCCAAGCGCUGGGAUUAAAGGCGUGUGCCAACACUGCCUGGCUUGUUUUUCUACUCUUAAACAGUUUAGGGCUCCUGCCUAAAGAGUAGUACCACCCACAUAGGGUUAGGUCUUCCCAUAUGUAUUAACUAAGAUGGUUCUGCACAGGCCAUCCUGUUUACUGCUCUACUGGAGGUGGGACCUGGAAGAGUGAAGCCUAAAAAGGAGGCAGACUAAAUGCAGUAGCCUACUUUAUUCAGAGGAUCAGACAUUUUGUACUGAGGUGUUAAUGUGGCAAAGCCAUAUUUUUUUCAUAGAGACAUGUGUAUCUGUUUUUGUUGGGCACCAGCUGUGGUUCCAGGUUCUUUUCUCUCCCUCAGGGUGUCCAGGAAACCUGGAAUUGGAGUCUAGAUUGGGUAGAGCUUUGGGGUGGGGUCUUCAGGAUCCCAGUCUGGUUGGGAAGUGAGUACCACGGUGGGGUUGGAGAUUCGGGGGUGUUCUCCAAGGAUUUCAGUGUUACAGCUCUUUUAGAGCCUUUCCCAGCAAUAUUCAGUGAAACACCUUGUGUGCCUACGCCUUAUUCAUGGUAAACAAAAGCUAUGUAUGAAUAUCGGAGAGUGGCUAGAGUUUAAAGUACUAUGAAUGCCUUAUUUGCAGGGAGAGGCAUUCCAAGAAUCUAGGUAAUCGCUGGAUGGGUUUUUAGAGAGAAAGAGAAAGUUGAACUUGUAGGUUUGCCAAGGACUAUGUGACCUUCUUUAGGUAGAGGGUGUGGGGGUCGGGCUUCCCAGAUAGGUCAGAAAAGGGGAAUCUGCACUGGAGAAGUGAGACCUCCAUUUUUGUGCAGAGCUCAGAGGAGCUAUCCUGACAUGAUAGACUUUGAUCUUAAGUAGCAGGGUUUCCCAACAGAGGCAUACAAACAAAUAAU
rnacentral:lncRNA from 1 species